CCUGACGCACCGACGCCUCGUGAGUGAUGAAGGUCUUCGGAUUGUAAAGCUCUGUCUUUUGGGACGAUAAUGACGGAACCAAAGGAGGAAGCCACGGCUAACUACUUGCCAGCAGCCGCGGGAAUACGUAGGUGGCAAGCGUUGUCCGGAAUUACUGGGCGUAAAGGAUGUGUAGGCGGAUAUUUAAGUGAGAUGUGAAAUCCCCGAGCUCAACUUGGGGGCUGCAUUUCAAACUGGGUAUCCAGAGUGCAGGAGAGGAAAGCGGAAUUCCUAGUGUAUCGGUGAAUUGCGUAGAGAUUACGAAGAACAUCAGUGGCGAAGGCGGUUUUCUGGACUGUAACUGACGCUGAGGCAUGAAAGCGUGGGGAGCAAACAGGAUUAGAUACCCUGGUAGUCCACGCCGUAAACGAUGAGUACUAGGUGUAGGAGGUAUCGACUCCUUCUGUGCCGCAGUUAACACAAUAAGUACUCCGCCUGGGAAGUACGGUCGCAAGAUUAAAACUCAAAGGAAUUGACGG
rnacentral:rRNA from 1 species